GGCGGCCUUUUAGCCACUGUGUCGUUCGAUUUGAUUUCAAUUUGUCCCGUGUGUUAAAAAAGGUCAAAUCGACGGUAGUUUGGUUAGAUCGACGCGUUGACGUGUGAGUGGCUAUAUUAAUGUUUGUGUCGGCUGGCUCCCUGCUUGCGCAGCGAACUGUCGGCGCAUCCAUAUUUCAGUCGAGUCGGAGACGUACAUGUCGGAUUUUUGUGUUGCCAACCCAAUUGAUGGAAUUCUUUUGACCCAGAUGCGUAACCUCGCCUAACGCCCCGUGAGGCGGUAGGUGGACGAUGAAGCUGCCCCUUUCUACUCCAUGCGCUCCCUUUUCGGGCCCCAUGGAAAAUUGGUGGUAUUGCUUGUUGCCUCGGAUGCAGAGCACGAAGCGAGCAUGAUGCCUGCCAUCAUCGCUCUUUCAGAGCUCCCGAUUGCUCGGAAAGAGGGACCGCCGCGCUUGGUUUUGGCCGUCGACUCGUCGAUCCAGCCCGAAACCUUGCCGACGUCUUCAAUGAAUGCUACCUGGUUGAUCCUGCCAGUAGUCAUAUGCUUGUCUCAAAGAUUAAGCCAU
rnacentral:misc_RNA from 1 species